AUUUCUUCGGAUUGAAGCCUUGGUGACUGAGCGGCGGACGGGUGAGUAACGCGUGGGUAACCUGCCUCAUACAGGGGGAUAACAGUUGGAAACGGCUGCUAAUACCGCAUAAGCGCACAGUACCGCAUGGUACAGUGUGAAAAACUCCGGUGGUGUGAGAUGGACCCGCGUCUGAUUAGGUAGUUGGUGCGGUAACGGCGCACCAAGCCGACGAUCAGUAGCCGACCUGAGAGGGUGACCGGCCACAUUGGGACUGAGACACGGCCCAAACUCC
rnacentral:rRNA from 1 species